rnacentral:rRNA from 1 species
GGGUCAGUAGGUUGGUCGUGCCACCGGUACGUACUGGUCUCACUGGUUCCUCCUUCCUGAAGAACCGUAAUGCCAUUAAUUUGGUGUUGCGGGGAAACAGGACUGUUACUUUGAAAAAAUUAGAGUGUUUAAAGCAAGCUAACGCUUGAAUACAUUAGCAUGGAAUAAUGAAAUAGGACGAUCGAUCCUAUUUUGUUGGUCUCUAGGAUUGACGUA